rnacentral:lncRNA from 1 species
UCGGCCUCCCUGCCGAAGCGGCGGCCUUUCAGGCCCUAGAUCCGGCCCGGCCUCAAGAGGCGACCUCCGUUCGGGCCCAUCCAAGCCGGGCCGCAUCCAGCCCGCCGCCUCCCUCUCCCUCUGCCCGGCGUCCACGACCCGCAGCGUCCGCCCGGGGUGAGCGGGGCGCCGCGUCUCACCGAAUUUAAGGCGAAGAGGAAAGAGCCAGAAAUCCCCGAUGUACCGGCAACUGCGGCGGUGUCUCCUCUGCGACCGGAACUAACGCCAGGAGGAGGGAGAGGAGCAUUACAUCAAGUCUUUGGGUUUAAAACAUUUUUUGGAUGAGAGGAGGCUGGAUGUUCCUGGCUCCUGGGGCAUGGGACUGUGUCAUUCCCUUCAAUUGACAACUGUGAAAAGAAGGCCAUUCGAACCCAUUCUGGCGUUGCUGGGCUCUUCACCGUGAAGUCCUCAGCUAUGUCUCUUUCUCUUCGCACUGCGGCCACAGCGUCAGCAAUGGCAAAGAACACAGAUGACCCCAGGAACAUCCCAGACUCCCCGAGGCCCUGUAAGAAGGCACAUUGGUGUAAGAAACUUCCAUACUACACUACAAGUUUCUAGAGGGUAGGGGCCAGGUCUCGUUCACCAUUGUGUCCCCAACCCCUGCACAGUGUUUUGUACACAAAAUCUUCUCAAUAAAUGUUUGUUGGCUGACUU